CUUCAGAUAGCUGACAGGGUAAUUGUAUAUCGUGAUGAGGCACUACUCUACAGACGAUGAUGAUGAACAAAUAACUACGUUGACGAAGGAUUUUACAAGACUAAAGCGUACAAGAUGUUAGCACCUUUCAAUACAAGUUGAGAGUUGGAGAGAGCUGAACAUGAUUUCAUCUUCAUCAUACAACUGUUUCCUUGCUUCGGACUUUCUGAUCGCAAAAAAAAUGACGUUUACAAGGUUUACCCGGAAUAAGUCAUAGUUGAGAGAACUAUACUGGUGUCUAAGCUGAAGCUUAUAGACAUAUAUAUGUAUGUAUUUAAAUCGCGGUCCCCAAUUCCAAAUGGGAAGGAGAAGAUGUAUCAUCUAGUUUCGAGGAUAUUUUAAAGAUAUUAAGCGAGAUUGUUGAUGAUUAAACAGAAUGUUUGAGAUUAUUUAAAAAAAAAUAGUGUAGAAGAUAAAAAAAAAAGAGAUUGUUGUUGAUAGUCUGAAAAAGGGGAUUCUAUAGUUACCUCCAUUUCUAUUCUUAGUGAAUAGCCGAAUAAAGACGAAAGCUAGUCGGGUGUGUGACGAGUAUGCAUUCUAUAAAAGAGUUGUGGUUUUUUUCUCUCUUUUCCUUCUGGAAAAUAGUGUUUCUAACCCCAUUUCAAAAUGUACUGAAUGUGUACUGGCAUAAGAAGGGAGGACGUUCUAAUUCUAACAGCUUCAAAUUACGCUUUUCUAAUUUUUCAAAUUCGGAUUAAAGCAACCGUCCACAUGCAUAUUCUAAUAUGGAUAAAGUUAGGUAAAACUAAAAGAAACAUUAAAACUCAUUAAAAGAACAUCUCGUUUUAAUAAGAAUUCAACUUUCUCGGGACAUUUAACCUCUUCGUGAAUAUCAUUUCUAUAGGAGAUAAAAGGACAUCAGUUUAUCGGGAUUUAAAGCUACAAGCCAAGUUUUUGAUGAACUUCCCCUCUAAACACACAGGUGGACAACACCUUACACCUUGAGUACAAACAUAAUCAUACCAUAGAAACAUAGGUAUGCCGAAAAAUGAAUAUUAUUUUUCCGCGAUAUUGACGAAAGUAAAAAAUCUAAAAUCAGAAGUCAAAAGGUCCCUCACGGCUUCUGUAUUUAAUAACAAGUGGUCUCAUGGUUGCUCUUGAGAAAAUGCAUGUCGUUUUCACUUUGGGCACGUGUAUAUAGGGUCGAGAUAGCUCAGUCAGUUAGUCUCAGAGAAAGGCUCGAGGUGCGUGGUCGACGCCCGUAUACCAUAUUAAUUCAAAGUAUUAUCUAAUGAUUAUAUGUAUGAAAUUUCAUAGCAUUACUCUAGGUGGAAAAUGUGUACCGCUUUAGUAUUAUGUAACAUGUACACU